rnacentral:rRNA from 1 species
GAUGAACGCUGGCGGCGUGCCUAAUACAUGCAAGUCGAGCGAACAGACGAGGAGCUUGCUCCUCUGACGUUAGCGGCGGACGGGUGAGUAACACGUGGAUAACCUACCUAUAAGACUGGGAUAACUUCGGGAAACCGGAGCUAAUACCGGAUAAUAUAUUGAACCGCAUGGUUCAAUAGUGAAACACGGUUUUGCUGUCACUUAUAGAUGGUUCCGCGCCGCAUUAGCUAGUUGGUAAGGUAACGGCUUACCAAGGCAACGAUGCGUAGCCGACCUGAGAGGGUGAUCGGCCACACUGGAACUGAGACACGGUCCAGACUCCUACGGGAGGCAGCAGUAGGGAAUCUUCCGCAAUGGGCGAAAGCCUGACGGAGCAACGCCGCGUGAGUGAUGAAGGUCUUCGGAUCGUAAAACUCUGUUAUUAGGGAAGAAAAAAUGUGUAAGUAACUAUGCACGUCUUGACGGUACCUAAUCAGAAAGCAACGGCUAACUACGUG